rnacentral:misc_RNA from 1 species
GUGAGAUUCCUCCUACUUCAGGAUUAGGUGAAGUAGUAAAUGUGUGUGUCAAAUAUCUGAAUCUAAGUUCGAUUGCAUCAAGUGAUAAAACUGACCAGGUUGACUACACUGAAAGUCCUAAGUGGAAAGUUGGGGGGACAUUCGGUGCUUCUCAGUCAAGAAAUGCUGUUCCCGUCAUGGAUUCUGGUAAUUCUUGGAACUCGUGGAUUCAGAGGCCAUUGUACAGAUUUAUAUUGAGGACAUUCCUGUAUUGUCCAAUGGAAAGUUCUAUUAAGAAUGCAUCUCAGGUGUUCACCUUGUGGGUUAGUUACCUGGAGCCCUGGUCUAUUUCUAUGGAAGAAUUUGUAGAACUUGAUGCGGAUCUGGGGAAGUCUAAUAGAGGUACAUUAAAGGAGGUUACCCCAUCAACGCCACAAGGUUAUACCUCUUCUUGGCAAGUUUUUGUAUUAGCUAACUACUUAUACUACAGCGCUUUGGUCAUGCAUUUUAUUGGUUUUGCCCACAAGUUUCUUCACACAGAUCCAGAAGUGAUAGUCAAGAUGGUUUCAAAGGUGAUAACAAUACUAACAUCAUCUGCAGAACUGA